rnacentral:rRNA from 1 species
UGAGCAACCUGCCCUUGACUCUGGGAUAACCCCGGGAAACCGGAGCUAAUACCGGAUACGAACCACCCAGGCAUCUAGGUGGUUGGAAAGAACUUCGGUCAAGGAUGGGCUCGCGGCCUAUCAGCUUGUUGGUGAGGUAACGGCCCACCAAGGCGACGACGGGUAGCCGGCCUGAGAGGGCGACCGGCCACACUGGGACUGAGACACGGCCCAGACUCCUACGGGAGCAGC